CCCCAUGGAAGACUGAGGGAGCCGUUGAGAGAUACAGUAAGGGAUGGAUUGAGGGAUCCAUUUAGGGAUGUGUUAAGGGAUCCAAUUAGAGAUACCUUUGGGGAUACCUUGAGGGAUCCAUCAAGGGAUAUGUUGAGGGAUCCAUUAAGGGACACUUUGAGGGACACGUUGAGGUAUCCGUUAAGGGAUAUGUUGAGGGACCCGUUAAGGGAUACAUCGAGUGAUCCAUUAAGGGAUCCGUUGAGGGAUACAUUGCAGGAGAAGCUGAGGCGUCCUGCCCCCGUUAAUUUGCAUUCGUCCGUUGGUCUUUCUCAUACUCUAAGUCGACACACUAACCUUGCACAGAGUAUGGAUCAUCUUGGACGUUCCCAUAGUUUUGAUCGUCCUCCUUCACCUAGGCUAUGGCCAUCACAGACAAUAGCCGGAGUAAAUCCAAGGGCCAUCACAGAUGCCAAUAGAGGAUCGGCUUCUUUUAAAGGUGGCUUAGAACUUGGCAGUGGAACCAAGUCUGCUUUUGUGACAAAUACAACUAUGGAGAUUGUAGUUCCUGAAAAUGUUAUUGGUGCUGUAUAUGGGGAGAAUGGUAGCAAUCUG
rnacentral:misc_RNA from 1 species